UCUGGUGGUUAUUACAUAAAGGUAACACUCCUUCCCAUACCGAACAGGUAGGUUAAGCUUUAUUGUGCCGAUGGUACUUCAGGGGCAGCCCUGCGGGAGAGUAGGUCACCGCCAGGU
rnacentral:rRNA from 1 species